AUGACAGGAGAUGUACACCAUGAAGCCAAAGCUCAGGAUAUCAUCAAGCAAACUUCCCUGCCCACUCCAGGUGAGCUAUAUGAACCUGGUUGUUCGCUUUAUCAGAAUGAACUACAGAGCAUAUUCCAGAAGCCUGAGUCGAACAUGAGCCAAAUGCUUAGCAUGAUGAAGCCUUUGCCCCAAGACGCUGAAUAUCCAAAGGAAUUCUUUGUCGAUGACCUCGAGUAUCUGCCACACAUAGUAUAUCAUAUUCUGAGGCAUACUCUCUGGCCCAUCAAAGGCCAUUCAUCUGAAGCCAAACUUGAAGGAUCCAUGAAGACUUUGGUGUUCUACAUUAUCAAUGGCAUUAGAUUCAACACUCAGGAUUUCUUCAUCAAACAACUUGUUGCUUCCGGGGUUGAUUUGUUUGGUCUGAAGUUCUAUGCUCCAUGGGUGAUGCGGUUGAUUAAGCUUCAUUCAACCAUUGACUAUCGGCCUUCAGCCCGAAAUCACAUUGUAUUCUUGCCUAAGGUUGAUAUGUCUGUUGAAGCCAUCUAUCUUGAGCCUGCAAAGAAGCCCCUCCAUCUUCAGAAUGCUGAGUUCCAGAGCUUCGCAUAG
rnacentral:rRNA from 1 species